ACGCUGGCGGCAGGCCUAACACAUGCAAGUCGAGCGGUAGAGAGAAGCUUGCUUCUCUUGAGAGCGGCGGACGGGUGAGUAAUGCCUAGGAAUCUGCCUGGUAGUGGGGGAUAACGUUCGGAAACGGACGCUAAUACCGCAUACGUCCUACGGGAGAAAGCAGGGGACCUUCGGGCCUUGCGCUAUCAGAUGAGCCUAGGUCGGAUUAGCUAGUUGGUGAGGUAAUGGCUCACCAAGGCGACGAUCCGUAACUGGUCUGAGAGGAUGAUCAGUCACACUGGAACUGAGACACGGUCCAGACUCCUACGGGAGGCAGCAGUGGGGAAUAUUGGACAAUGGGCGAAAGCCUGAUCCAGCCAUGCCGCGUGUGUGAAGAAGGUCUUCGGAUUGUAAAGCACUUUAAGUUGGGAGGAAGGGUUGUAGAUUAAUACUCUGCAAUUUUGACGUUACCGACAGAAUAAGCACCGGCUAACUCUGUGCCAGCAGCCGCGGUAAUACAGAGGGUGCAAGCGUUAAUCGGAAUUACUGGGCGUAAAGCGCGCGUAGGUGGUUUGUUAAGCUGGAUGUGAAAUCCCCGGGCUCAACCUGGGAACUGCAUUCAAAACUGACUGACUAGAGUAUGGUAGAGGGUGGUGGAAUUUCCUGUGUAGCGGUGAAAUGCGUAGAUAUAGGAAGGAACACCAGUGGCGAAGGCGACCACCUGGACUAAUACUGACACUGAGGUGCGAAAGCGUGGGGAGCAAAC
rnacentral:rRNA from 1 species